UCCCAAACUUUUUCUCCUGCCCCCCGCCCCAGUGCCAGCAUCGUAGCGCUCAUGUUGCGUUUAAAAGCGGCUCGGAAAACCAGGUUACGACAUGUUUACAAUGGAUUAAACAGUUUUAACUGCUGAUAAAA